GACGAACGCUGGCGGCGUGCUUAACACAUGCAAGUCGAACGGAAAGGCGCCUAUGGGGGUACUCGAGGGGCGGACGGGAGAGGAACACGAGAGUAACCGGCACUUGCCUUCGGGAUAACUAUAGGAAACUGGGGCUAAUACUGGAUAGGAAUACUCUCUGCCUGGUGGGGGUUGGAAAGCUUAGGCUGUUUUGGAUGGACGCGCGGGGUAUCAGCUUGUUGGUGGGGUAGGGGCGUACCAAGGCCUUGAAGGGUAGCCGGCCUGAGCGGGCGACCGGCCACACUGGGCCUGCGCCUCGGCCCAGCCGCCGUCGGGAGGCUGCCGUGGGGAAUAUUGCUCUGUGGGCGGGAGCCUGCUUCAGCAACGCCGCGUGCGGGGUGACGGCCUUCGGGUUGUAGUCCGCUUUCAGCAGGGGCUGAGCUUGUGGUGACGGUACCUGCAGAAGAAGCACCGGCUAACUACGUG
rnacentral:rRNA from 1 species